rnacentral:rRNA from 1 species
UUGGAGGGCAGUCUGGUGCCAGCAGCCGCGGUAAUUCCAGCUCCAAUAGCGUAUAUUAAAAUUGUUGCAGUUAAAAAGCUCGUAGUUGAAUUUCGGGGUUCUACCGUUGGUCGGGCUUUGUCUGUACUGGUGUGUAGAAUUUCUACCUUCUGGGGAACCAUCAUGCUAUUAAUUUAGCGUGGUGGGAAACCAGGACCUUUACCUUGAAAAAAUUAGUGUGUUCAAAGCAGGCUUAUGUCUGAAUACAUUAGCGUGGAAUAAUAGAAUAGGACGGUGGUCCUGUUUUGUUGGUUUCUGAAUCACCGUAAUGAUUAAUAGGGAUAGUUGGGGGCAUUAGUAUUCAAUUGUCAGAGGUGAAAUUCUUGGAUUUAUUGAAGACUAACUUCUGCGAAAGCAUUUGCCAAGGAUGUUUUCAUUAAUCAAGAACGAAAGUUAGGGGAUCGAAGACGAUCAGAUACCGUCGUAGUCUUAACCAUAAACUAUGCCGACUAGGGAUCGGACGAUGUUAAUUUUUCUUGACUCGUUCGGCGCCUUACGGGAAAC